UGGGGAAUCUUGCGCAAUGGGCGAAAGCCUGACGCAGCGACGCCGCGUGAGUGAUGAAGGCCUUCGGGUUGUAAAGCUCUGUGGGGAGAGAAGAAUAAGUGCAGCCUAAUAAGCUUCAUGAUGACGGUAUCUCCUUAGCAAGCACCGGCUAACUCUGUGCCAGCAGCCGCGGUAAGACAGAGGGUGCAAACGUUGUUCGGAAUUACUGGGCGUAAAGCGUGUGUAGGCGGCCACAUAAGUCGGAUGUGAAAGCCCCGGGCUCAACCCGGGAAGUGCACUCGAAACUGUGUGGCUUGAGUACUGGAGAGGUUGGUGGAAUUCUCGGUGUAGAGGUGAAAUUCGUAGAUAUCGAGAGGAACACCGGUGGCGAAGGCGGCCAACUGGACAGAUACUGACGCUGAGACACGAAAGCGUGGGGAGCAAACAGG
rnacentral:rRNA from 1 species